rnacentral:lncRNA from 1 species
CGGCGGCGACCGCGGCUCCCUCGACUCCAGCUUCUCCGGUGCAGGCAGAUUUUUGUACCAACAGGAUUGGCGCUAGAGGAAGGGCUGUGUCUUUGCAGUACCCUUAUUCUUAAAGGAGCGCUCAACGGGAUUGCCCCCGGGCAUCUUUUCCGGUGCCCUCUCCUCCUUCCUCCACUUGAUUUUUGCCCGAUGCCUCCCCGCAAGGCGUCCACACGACGAUCCACGGCCUCCGCGGCCAGAUCUCAGGCUCCGGCCUCACCUCCAGUUUUCCAGCCUCCUCCUCCUC